AUACUACUUCUAUAAUCCUACUCAAUAAAAUAUGUUUGUUGGUAGGUAUGCCAUUUUUCUGAAGAAAGAGUUUAUCCAAGAAGGAGACAGUGGGAGGUCUGUUGAACAUGAAAAAGUUCAAAACCUACAAUCCAUCCAGGAUUUACCAUAUAGUUCUCAACCAGUUGUGCCUGUUGUUGAGGCACAACUACUAUACACACCUCCUCUCCGAAGGUCAAGUAGAGUGCGUAGUGUAUCACUCAGAUAUGGAUUUGUCAUUGAGAAUGACAACACAAUCCACAUCAUUGAGAAUGAUGAUCCCACGACC
rnacentral:lncRNA from 1 species